rfam:TPA: Bos taurus chromosome 9, whole genome shotgun sequence.
UAGCUUAGUUGGUAAAGAAUCCGCCUGCAAUGCAGAAGACCCUGGUUCGAUUCCUGG